AGCGAACGCUGGCGGCAGGCCUAACACAUGCAAGUCGAACGAAGUCUUCGGACUUAGUGGCGGACGGGUGAGUAACACGUGGGAACGUGCCUUUAGGUUCGGAAUAACUCAGGGAAACUUGUGCUAAUACCGAAUGUGCCCUUCGGGGAAAAGAUUUAUCGCGUUUAGAGCGGCCCGCGUCGGAUUAGCUAGUUGGUGAGGUAAAGGCUCACCAAGGCGACGAUCAGUAGCUGGUCUGAGAGGAUGAUCAGCCACAUUGGGACUGAGACACGGCCCAAACUCCUACGGGAGGCAGCAGUGGGGAAUCUUUCGCAAUGGGCGAAAGCCUGACGCAGCCAUGCCGCGUGAAUGAUGAAGGUCUUAGGAUUGUAAAAUUCUUUCACCGGGGACGAUAAUGACGGUACCCGGAGAAGAAGCCCCGGCUAACUUCGUGCCAGCCGCCGCAGUAAUAC
rnacentral:rRNA from 1 species